rnacentral:rRNA from 1 species
GGUUAAGCGACUAAGCGUACACGGUGGAUGCCCUGGCAGUCAGAGGCGAUGAAGGACGUGCUAAUCUGCGAAAAGCGUCGGUAAGGUGAUAUGAACCGUUAUAACCGGCGAUGUCCGAAUUGGGAAACUCAUUGUGAUUUGUCACUCUAUCGUUAACUGAAUACAUAGGUUAACGAGGCGAACCGGGGGAACUGUAACAUCUAAGUACCCCGAGGAAAAGAAAUUAACCGCGAUUCCCCCAGUAGAGUCGUACGAACGGGGAGCAGCCC